rnacentral:rRNA from 1 species
CGGACGGGUGAGUAACGCGUGGAUAACCUGCCCCAUACCGGGGGAUAACAGCCGGAACCGGCUGCUAAUACCGCAUAAGCGCACGGGAAUGCAUGUUUCUGUGUGAAAAACUCCGGUGGUAUGGGAUGGAUCCGCGUCUGAUUAGCUGGUUGGCGGGGUAGAGGCCCACCAAGGCGACGAUCAGUAGCCGACCUGAGAGGGUGGCCGGCCACAUUGGGACUGAGACACGGCCCAGACUCCUACGGAAGGCAGCAG